UCCUGGAUUUUCCUGCAGGACCCCAUGUAAUCACACAUCUUUACACAGCUGAACAACAACAGGCCCUCUGGUCAGUUGGGCUCCCACAUCCAUGGACAAUGCCUUGGUAAAGGCGUCAAGCUCUUGGGUCAGGAAUUUUGGGCAAAGCUCCUACCCCCAGGGUACAGCCAGUCUAACCAUGGGACUCCAAACUUCACUGCUUAGAGGCCAAGACUACCUCAUCUACAAGGGGCCUUUCCCUCACAAGUUCAGGCCCAGAGAACCAUGUUACCCAACUCCAGCUCAGGCACUACAUCUCAACAGGUCCUCAGUCUCUCUUGCAACAACAAAAGCUGAAGUUGAAGUGUAAAAGAGAGAAAGAGUUGACAUGAAAUUGCUGCUUCAGCCUUAAUUGGAACAUCAGCAGCACCAGCAACAACAACACUUAAAAUUCAGCAAUCAACAGUUCGAUUGACGAAGGCUUUCAAAUGAAAACAUGUCAAUUUACAAAGCACCCUUCCCUGAAAAUCUGGCCAAGCUAAUAAACAAUGUGAAUGCAUCAACGUGACCCUUCAGAGAAACAGGAUUCCAGGCCGAAUGUCAAACCGUCUGGGCUCCAGCAGUAGCCUCAGCCGUGGGGGUCAGGUUCAUGAUGCACCUAUGCUCUCAAUGCUCUUUGAACAUCUUAAUCUCACAGCAACAGUGGAUAACAUGACCUUCAAGUUGGGGAUGGUUGAGGGUCGCCCAAAACCACCCAGUGCCUUGCGAUGAAAACCUCCAACAGGACUGUGACCUUGCCCUUGUACACACCUAAUGGUCAGGUUGACGGUCACUUGGGCUUAGAUAGUCUCUGCAGUAAGAACAUUCAAGUGGUAACACACUGGUCUACCAAUUCAGAAGUCCCCGGUUCAAUUCCUGGCCUGGGCACUGGAAAUUGCAGAAAUGCUUCAAGUGUUUCCCACCCAUCUAGAGAUGCACUGGUAUAAAACCCAGUAAAGAAGAUUACUUCACAACAUGACAUCCGAGACUGCAGGGAUGAAAUGAGUGUCCUCACGUCAGCAGAGGAAGCCAAGAUACAAUACGAGAAUUUCCAGCAGCUUACCUGCUUAAAACCUGGGAAGCAGAGCAAUGAGUAUGUCCCAGGAGCAUUUGCAGUCACAGCAAGUGAACCAGCGGCGGUCAUCGUCUCCAGAUUCUGAGAUCCCCAUGCUUCACAACCCUUAGUCUAUGAAAAUCAUGCAGAGCGAACCUUGGACAUUGACGAAAUCAACCCGGCAAAUCAGAAGGACAGCCUGUUGCUACAGUUAUCAUAUUAACCCCAGUCAUACCGAAGAAGCUCAGAGAUAUAAAUGCUGUUUAAGAUGUGCUAGUCUCUACAUACUCCAUGUCUGGUGUGAACAUGUACAAUUGAAGGUCUCUACAUACUCCAUGUCUGGUGUGAACAUGUACAAUUGAAGGUCUCUACAUACCCCAUGUCUGGUGUGAACAUGUACAAUUGAAGGUCUCUACAUACCCCAUGUCUGGUGUGAACAUGUACAAUUGAAGGUCUCUACAUACUCCAUGUCUGGUGAAAAUAUGUACAAUUGAAGGUCUCUACAUACCCCAUGUCUGGUGUGAACAUGUACAAUUGAAGGUCUCUACAUACCCCAUGUCUGGUGUGAACAUGUACAAUUGAAGGUCUCUACAUACCCCAUGUCUGGUGUGAACAUGUACAAUUGAAGGUCUCUACAUACUCCAUGUCUGGUGUGAACAUGUACAAUUGAAGGUCUCUACAUACCCCAUGUCUGGUGUGAACAUGUACAAUUGAAGGUCUCUACAUACCCCAUGUCUGGUGUGAACAUGUACAAUUGAAGGUCUCUACAUACCCCAUGUCAGGUGUGAACAUGUACAAUUGAAGGUCUCUACAUACCCCAUGUCUGUUGUGAACAUGUACAAUUGAAGGUCUCUACAUACCCCAUGUCUGGUGUGAACAUGUACAAUUGAAGGUCUCUACAUACCCCAUGUCUGGUGUGAACAUGUACAAUUGAAGGUCUCUACAUACCCCAUGUCUGGUGUGAACAUGUACAAUUGAAGGUCUCUACAUACUCCAUGUCUGGUGUGAACAUGUACAAUUGAAGGUCUCUACAUACUCCAUGUCUGGUGUGAACAUGUACAAUUGAAGGUCUCUACAUACCCCAUGUCUGGUGUGAACAUGUACAAUUGAAGGUAUCUACAUACCCCGUGUCCGGUGUGAACAUGUACAAUUGAAGGUCUCAUCUUUGAAAUUGGGACAGGUGGAAAAUUAAUGAAUUGAUGCAGACAGAAGUCGCAUAAUGACUAAUCACAACAAAAAGUGGAAAUCCAGACAGUCUUGUGGCCAGCCAUGUUUUUAUGUGACCAUCCAAGUUGUGUUCAAAGAAAACAAUAGUUCAUGUUUUAUUGGAACUAUGAUGCUGAUAGUCAUUUUAUGUAAAAGGCUUUUAUGAACUAUAUUCAAAUACUCAGUAUAAAAAGAUUUAGAUUACUUGAUAAAAGCAAUAAUGAACAAUAUUAUUUUAAGAGCAAAAUUAGCAAGUCUAUCCAAUUACUGUGUCUGUAUUAUGAAAUUUUAUUUUGGAAAUGUUAAGGAAAAUAUAAUGUUACUAAAUAUAUGUCUCUGUUGAUGUUAACAUUAGUCAAAGCUGUUUAAAUGAUGCUGGUAACUUUGACAAAAUUGAAAGAAAAUGUAUUCUUUUCUUGUAAUGAGACAUGCUUCAGUUUUUUUUUUGGCUUAACAUGUAAUGUAGAGGUGGUAGUAAGUUAAACACAUUGUUUAGACAGGUGGAGAAUUUUCAUGCUAUGGCUUUGAUACUCUUAAGUGUGCCCAUUGGUGUCAGGUGUUUUUGUCAAGCAUCUUGUUUAUUAUGUUAGUAUUUCAAGACAAUAUUGAUUAAUUUUAGACAAAAUCAUUUAAUCUUCCUUAAAUUGUCUAUUCGGUAUUUACUACCAGUUAUUUAUUAAUUUACUUAAACAUGAUUUAAUAAUGACCUUUUUGUUGCUUAAAAUGCUUUAUAUGUUUUAAAACUAAGCAUUUAAAAACGAAAAUAUAAGAUGUGGGAAUAAUGUCUAAAGUUAUGAUAGUUAUUUUUUGUUUUUGUAAAGUUAAUUAUGCCUUAAAUGUUUGUGUAUAGACAUUUAGACGACCAGAUUAACCUGACCAAGAAUUCUUGAUCAAUGUGUAUAUCGGUCAGUACAUUUGUAUAUAGAGCGAUUGCGAAAUGAUUGUAUUGUUAAUGAAAAUCAUGUGUUUAUUGUUGCCAUUUUGAUUUUUGCUGUUAACAUUUAUUUAUACAAACAAUUUUCAUCAUGUACAUCUUUUAGGUGCCAGAUAAUAAAACAAACAUUGCUUGUGGAGAUGCUCAUUUAAAACUUUCUUAAUGAUACAGAACAACACAUUCUGAAGAGGCCAAUAUCCUUUAGACAAUAGGAAUAUCUUGUUACUAGUAUAUGUAAUGCCUUUCACUUAAUAAAGUCAAGCAACUAUUGAAAGAUUGGUUUAACUUUAUUUUGCAUUAUUUUAAGAAAAAUUAAUAUAUUCAACUUGGAAAUCAGUCAAUUGCAAAUCAAGCGAGAGUGAUGAAUAUUUUUAAGCAAGAUAGAGGGAUGUUUUUGCUUGAAAAAAAGUUGUAUCCCUUGUUAGAUAAUGAUUUUGUUCAUCUCUCAACAUAACAAGUGCAUUCAUACAGCUAUCAAAAAUAUGACACACUUAAUACUCAGCCAUCAGUUUGUAUUGGGGUUUUGUGGAAUACUUACUAAACUAAUAUACGUCUGUUCAAUGAAUUAAUAGUUAUGGUACAAUAUGAUACUCAUUGUUAAAAAACAUGUGUAAUAAAAAUAUAAUGGCAUUUAUUUGAAAUCAUAAAAUUUAGUUUUCCAUACAAUGCUUACAGUUUUGCAAUUGCGACGAUAAAGGAAAUUUUCUGCUAAAAAAAAUGUCUGUUAAAGACAUGUGUAUAUUAUAGCAAUUAUAUUGUACUUAUAUUUAUAUUAUACAUGAUAAUAAUUGACUUAUGGCUGAUGAUAGCGGCAGUUUACUAUUUGUGUAACAGUUUGACCAUAUUUCCUUAAACAUGUGAUUGUGUAUAAUGAACUGUAAUUGAAAGCAUGAAACAUUGUUGUUCUGUUGCUUAACAGCUGAAAAUAGCUUGAUGUUUGUUAAUUGUGUGAAAUGUUUCAAAUUAAUCAUAUUGAUACAUAGAAAAUAAAAUUACAUUUUGCGUUAAUUUAAAUGCAUAUCAAACAAUUGUUACCAUACAAGCAUAUUUGCAUUGAACUUAAUUGAUACUUUGAGAUGCAAUUUUUACAUUAAUGUGUAAAUAUUUUCAUCUUUUCCAAAUGAACAUUUUGCAUUUGUAAAUAUAGGGUUUAUAUAAACUUUAUAGAAACUUAUUAAAUGCUUUAUAUAAAUUAAUUGUGUACCUUAUAUUGAUUAAAAACUCUCUUAUUUAUUGCACAGUUGUGUGUGCAUAUUUCUGACUUAUGUCUUCAUAGUCCUUAAAGUUAAAUUACUGUAAAUAGUAUUUUAUAAUAAUGUUAAAAUAUUUAUCUAAACUAUAUACAGGUUAUCUGUUAAAUUAAGUUUCAUACAUUUGCAUUGUCUAGCUAAUUAAAUUGGAGUGUUUAUAUUCUUGCCUACAUGCAGUGUAUGGUUUAGACAAAGCACAUUACACAAUUCAUGUUGUUUUAUCCAUCAUUACUAACCAGUGUUAAGUCCGUAGAGGUUAAAGUAUACUAAAUAUUUCGGUUGUGCAAUGCUAUGCUCUCUAAAUAAAUCAACACCAUUUAUUGAUUUUCUAUGUGGGCACCUAAAUUCCUAUGACUUUAUUUGUGAAUAUUUAUUUGAAUGUGCGGUAGGGAAAACAUUGUUUGCUUGAAUGUUAGAAACUUAAGGUUGACAUCUUGAAAGAUGGCAGUAAACAUUUAACUGCAGAGUAGCUGGGGAAAAGAUUGCUGUUAAACAAUGUAAGACAGAACUUCACGCAAGAUAUGUCAUGCAUGCGAUAUGCAUGAACUAUCUUUUUAAAAUAAUUUGGAUCUGAAUUAUCUUUAAGAAAUAGUAUGGUUAUGAGGGUCUCUAUGUGCAAAAUGUUGCAUUUAUUUAGUGUACAAGUUAUUGCUUAAACAUUGAAUUUGUUAUGGAAAUAAUAUAGUUUAUGUGACUUAAAGAGAUUUACAUGUUUAUGUUUGUGAUGUGUUUUUGCUGAUCCAAGUCUGUUCCUGCACACUAUUUAAAGUAGAUAACUACAAGUUAUCUCAUUUAAAUGGGAAAAAUAUUGUACUGUGAAAAAGUGUUGUGAAUUCAAAUAAAAAUACUAUGAACCGU